rnacentral:misc_RNA from 1 species
CUGGUCCUCCAGUGUUGGCUGCAUGAGUAAGGGCAGUAUUUUGUUGAACAACGGUCCUGCACCAAAUUCACGGGCUUUGUCUGUCAGUUGCCGAAGUGCUGUUUUACGCUGUGGGGGUGUGCCAUUCUUCACUUUGAGUAACAGUUUCAUGAUUUUCCUCUCCUUCUGCUCCUCUGGCGAUAGCUGCUCCUCCUCUUCCUCGUUCAGCAAAGUUCCAAAGUACUGGUAAUCCUCGGGCUUCAUGAGUGGCAACCCACCAGGCAGCUCCUUGGGCACAUCAAAAUGCUGCCCACGAUUCUCCUCUGGAAUAGCAUAAAGUGGUGUCCCCAGAGGUGUCGGUGUCGCAAGGAGCUUCCUUGCCGGGGUCCUGAUGGGCUGGUAGGAAGCCGGGGGCUCAAGAAUCUUGUAGCCCUCCUGCGGGAACAUGGCAUCAAGCUCCUCGUCAGUGAGAGGCCUGUUCCUCUCCUCAAUGUCCCGCUCCCACCGCAUGAGCUGGUACUGCUCCGGAGUGAUCGGUCCACGAGCAAUCUGGCUAGGAGUUGGUGUGGCAAGGUUCUCUGCACCAAAUGGCGUUGGACCAGGAGUAUAACCAGCAGGGGUUGGCGUGACACCACCAGGCAGCUUUGGAGUCGCGUCCCAAGCCCCAGAAGGAGUAGCCCCAGGGGUGGCACCGCCAGCUGCAGGCGUAGCAUCAGCAUCGGCCAUCCUCCCUGGAGUCGGUGUCUCAUCCCAUCUGUUCCUUCUCACGGAGGGUGUGGCGUCUCCAACACGUCCGGGGGUGGCAUCCCAACGGCCAAUCCCAGGAGUCGCAUCAGGGGCAUCCCAGUCCGAGGAUGUCUUCACCUUCUUGGCACCGGCACCAGCGUCGCCGUCCUGCGACUGAUCCCACCUGUUGCGCCGCUUUGUUGUGGCGGCAGGCUGCUCAGGAGCGGCAGCCUUCCUCUCCUUCUCCUUCUCUUCCUCUUCCUUCUUCUUCUUGGCAAUCUCCCUCAGCAGGUCCUCCUUCUUCUUCUGCAGCGCCGCGUCGCGCAUGACGUCAGCGUAGGUCCGCACCGAGGGGUCCGGGGUGGCCUCCCCAGCGGCGAACGGGUCAUGGCGCUCCGGCGAGAUGAUCUGGUUGAGGCGGCGGCGGCGGUAGUCGUCCUCGCGGUCGAUGAUGCGCUGGGACCUCUUGGGCAGCCCGUCGUCGUCGUCGGCCGACCGCGGGAUGUCGGCGGCGGCGAUGGCGUGGCCCGUGUAGGCCGCGAGGCGGCGCGGCGCAGGGUUGGCGGCCUCCGCGUCGUCCUCCGCGGCGUCGUCCUCGGAGGCCGGGAUGGAGGUGUCGUAGCCCGCGAAGCGGUUGGGGUCGGCGCCCCCGCCGCCGUAGAGGUCGGUGUCGAAGGUGACGGAGGACACGGCCAUGGGCGCGCCAGCCGCCAGCGCCUCCUCCAUCCUGCGCCGCUCCUCUUGCGUGCGCGCGAGAUCUGCGUCGAUCGAGUCCAUGGCGGCGGCGGCGCGGGAAGGGAGCGGGUAGGGUUUGCUUUGG